UGAAGAAAUGUUACCAUCAGAGACGCA
rnacentral:piRNA from 1 species